UUAUGAGAUCAAGCGUCAAAAGGGCAUCCGGGGGAUGUCUUGGCGGUAAGAGGCGAUGAAAGACGUGGCACUCUGCGAUAAGCACCGGGGAGGCGAGAGCACCCUUUGAUCCGGUGAUUUCUGAAUGGGGAAACCCACCUCCGAGAUGUUGGAUAAUUCGAGCACUUCGGUGCUCGACAUGUCUGACAUUUCAAUAGUGAGGUAUUUUAAACUGAAUACAUAGGUUUAAAAAGCGAACCCGGGGAAUUGAAACAUCUGAGUACCCGGAGGAAAGGACAUCAAUUGAGACUCCGUUAGUAGUGGCGAGCGAACGCGGACCAGGCCUGGUCUGAAACAAGGAGAAGCAUCUGGGAAGGUGCGCCAUAGUGGGUGAUAGCCCCGUAUCCGUAAAAUGAAGACCUUUUAGAGUAGGGCGGGACACGUGAAAUCCUGUCUGAAAAUGGGGGGACCACCCUCCAAGCCUAAGUACUCCUUACCGACCGAUAGUGAACAAGUACCGUGAGGGAAUGAUGAAAAGAACCCCGAUGAGGGGAGUGAAACAGAUCCUGAAACCGGAUGCCUACAAGCUGAGGGAGCUCUUCGGAGUGACCUCGUACCUUUUGUAUAAUGGGUCAACGACUUAGUGUUGCGUGCAAGCUUAAGCCGUUAGGUGUAGGCACAGCGAAAGCGAGUCUGAAUAGGGCGACUGAGUACGUAGCAUUAGACCCGAAGGCAAGUGAUCUAGGUAUGGGCAGGCUGAAGGUGCGGUAACACGCACUGGAGGGCCGAACCGUUGAAUGUUGAAAAAUUCUCGGAUGACCUGUGCCUAGGGGUGAAAGGCCAAUCAAACUUGCUGAUAGCUGGUUCUCCGCGAAAUCUAUUUAGGUAGAGCGUCACGGUUGAGACUCCAGGGGGUAGAGCACUGAAUGGGCUAGGGGUCCUUACCGGAUUACCAAACCUUAUCAAACUCCGAAUACCUGGAAGUUAUACGUGGCAGACACACGGCGGGUGCUAACGUCCGUCGUGAAAAGGGAAACAACCCAGACCGCCGAUUAAGGCCCCCAAGUCAUAGCUAAGUGCGAAACGAUGUGGGAUUGCUGAGACAAUCAGGAGGUUGGCUUAGAAGCAGCCAUCCUUUAAAGAAAGCGUAACAGCUCACUGAUCAAGCGAUCCUGCGCGGAAAAUGUAUCGGGACUAAAGUUAUGCGCCGAAAUCGCGGGCUCGUAAGAGCGGUAGCGGAGCGUUCCGUAAGCCAAUGAAGGUGAACCGUGAGGUUUGCUGGAGGUAUCGGAAGUGAGAAUGUUGACAUGAGUAGCGACAAAGAGGGUGAGAGACCCUCUCGCCGAAAGUCCAAGGGUUCCUGCGUAAAGCUAAUCUGCGCAGGGUUAGCCGGCCCCUAAGGUCAGGCCGAAAGGCGUAGCCGAUGGGAACCACGUUAAUAUUCGUGGGCCGAGGGAUGAGUGACGGAUUCCGAAAGCUGUAUGAACUUACUGGAUUGUGAGUGCAGCCUGGGGGUCCCUGGAAAUAGCCUCCCUAUUAGACCGUACCCUAAACCGACACAGGUGGACUGGUAGAGCAUACCAAGGCGCUUGAGAGAACUAUGUUGAAGGAACUCGGCAAAUUACCUCCGUAACUUCGGGAGAAGGAGGCCUCAUAUUGGGCAACCAGUACUGAGGGGCACAAAACUGGGGGUUGCGACUGUUUAUCAAAAACACAGGGCUCUGCGAAAUCGCAAGAUGACGUAUAGGGUCUGACGCCUGCCCGGUGCCGGAAGGUUAAAAGGAGAUGUGCAAGCAUUGAAUUGAAGCCCCGGUGAACGGCGGCCGUAACUAUAACGGUCCUAAGGUAGCGAAAUUCCUUGUCGGGUAAGUUCCGACCUGCACGAAUGGCGUAACGACUUCCCCACUGUCUCCA
rnacentral:rRNA from 1 species